AUUCGAUGCAACGCGAAGAACCUUACCUAGGCUUGACAUGCAUUGAAAACUGUNAGAGAUAACAGGUCCGCAAGGGCUUUGCACAGGUGGUGCAUGGCUGUCGUCAGCUCGUGUCGUGAGAUGUUGGGUUAAGUCCCGCAACGAGCGCAACCCUCGUCUUGUGUUGCCAACAGGUAAUGCUGGGAACUCACAAGAGACUGCCGGGGUCAACUCGGAGGAAGGUGGGGACGACGUCAAGUCAUCAUGCCCCUUAUGUCUAGGGCUGCACGCAUGCUACAAUGGCCGAUACAAAGGGCUGCGAUACCGCAAGGUGGAGCGAAUCCCAUAAAGUCGGUCUCAGUUCGGAUUGAGGUCUGCAACUCGACCUCAUGAAGUUGGAGUUGCUAGUAAUCGCGGAUCAGCAACGCCGCGGUGAAUACGUUCCCGGGCCUUGUACACACCGCCCGUCACGUCACGAAAGUCGGUAACACCCAAAACCAGUGUCCAACCGUAAGGGGGAAG
rnacentral:rRNA from 1 species